ACUGAUUGGGCUAGGGGGCUUCACCGCCUACCAACCCCUGACAAACUCCGAAUGCUAUAAUAUGUUUCUCAGCAGUGAGGGCAUGGGUGCUAAGGUCCAUGUCCGAGAGGGAAAGAACCCAGAUCACCGGCUAAGGUCCCAAAGUAUAUACUAAGUUGAUAUAACGCGGUGGAACUGCAUUGACAGCCAGGAUGUUGGCUUGGAAGCAGCCAUUCAUUUAAAGAGUGCGUAACAGCUCACUAGUCGAGCGAUCGAGCGUGGAUAAUAAUCGGGCAUAAGUGUAUUACCGAAGCUGUGGAUUACAUAUUUAUUUAUGUACUGGUAGGGGAGCAUUCUAUGGGCGUUGAAUGUAUCUCGUCAGAGGUGCUGGAGCGCAUAGAAAAGCAAAUGUAGGAAUGAGUAACGAUAAAGCAGGCGAGAAACCUGCUCACCGAUAGACUAAGGUUUCCUGAGCGACGCUAAUCGGCUCAGGGUUAGUCGGGACCUAACGCGAACCCGAAAGGGGUAGUGGAUGGACAACUGAUUAAUAUUUCAGUACUAAUUAUAACUGCGAUGGGGUGACGGAGUAAUGAAAGGUCUGCGCACUGACGGAAUAGUGCGUUAAAGCGUGUAGCUAUAGGUUGAAUAGGUAAAUCCGUUCGACUUGGCCAACGUGAUAGUACCACAAGUCUACGGACGAGUGGAUAAUGACCCUAAGCGCUUCCAAGAAAAACCUCUAAGCUUCAGGUUAUAAUUACCCGUACCGUAAACCGACACAGGUAGUCAAGGAGAGAAUCCUAAGGUGCUCGAGUGAUUCAUGGCUAAGGAACUAGGCAAAAUGGUCUCGUAACUUCGGGAGAAGAGACGCCCCUGAUGUAAGAAUCAGGGGCCGCAGUGAAUAGGCCCAGGCGACUGUUUAUCAAAAACACAUGGCUUUGCUAAAUCGAAAGAUGAAGUAUAAGGCCUGACACCUGCCCGGUGCUGGAAGGUUAAGAGGAGAAGUUAUCUUCGGAGAAGCUUUGAAUUGAAGCCCCAGUAAACGGCGGCCGUAACUAUAACGGUCCUAAGGUAGCGAAAUUCCUUGUCGGGUA
rnacentral:rRNA from 12 species